GCGGACGUGGCGGAACCGGUAGACGCGCAGCCUUGAGGGGGCUGUAUCCGUAAGGAUGUGGAGGUUCGAGUCCUCUCGUCCGCA
rnacentral:tRNA from 1 species